GCUGGGUAUGUGGCGCAUACCUGUAAUCCUGCUUCUGGGAGGCUUGAUGUAGUGGAUGGCUUGAGGCUGGGAGUCCUGCUGGAUCGUCGCUUGCGUUGAACAGGUGUCCGCACUAAGCUUGGCAUUCACAUGGAUCGGAUGGAGGAAUCCGA
rnacentral:SRP_RNA from 1 species